UACGUAGGGUGCAAGCGUUGUCCGGAAUCAUUGGGCGUAAAGCGCGCGUAGGUGGCCUCGUAAGUCCGCUGUGAAAGUCCAAGGCUCAACCUUGGAAAGCCGGUGGAUACUGUGGGGCUAGAGUACGGAAGAGGCGAGUGGAAUUCCCGGUGUAGCGGUGAAAUGCGCAGAUAUCGGGAGGAACACCAAUGGCGAAGGCAGCUCGCUGGGACGUUACUGACGCUGAGACGCGAAAGCGUGGGGAGCAAACAGG
rnacentral:rRNA from 1 species